AAACUAACAGAUUUACUUCGGUAAUGACGUUAGGAAAGCGAGCGGCGGAUGGGUGAGUAACACGUGGGGAACCUGCCCCAUAGUCUGGGAUACCACUUGGAAACAGGUGCUAAUACCGGAUAAGAAAGCAGAUCGCAUGAUCAGCUUUUAAAAGGCGGCGUAAGCUGUCGCUAUGGGAUGGCCCCGCGGUGCAUUAGCUAGUUGGUAAGGUAAAGGCUUACCAAGGCGAUGAUGCAUAGCCGAGUUGAGAGGCUGAUCGGCCACAUUGGGACUGAGACACGGCCCAAACUCCUACGGGAGGCAGCAGUAGGGAAUCUUCCACAAUGGACGCAAGUCUGAUGGAGCAACGCCGCGUGAGUGAAGAAGGUUUUCGGAUCGUAAAGCUCUGUUGUUGGUGAA
rnacentral:rRNA from 1 species